CAGUUUUGUUCUUGUGGCAGUUAAACAUCGUUGGGGCUGAAUAUGAAAGACCUUGCCUGGAAUAUUUUCGAAAGAUUAUGGCAGGACGAGGAUGCUUCGACAUACUUUCCUCAGCAUGUUGGCUUAAAAUUCUGAACGAAACAGAAUUCACUUUGCAUAUUAUGGAUUACUACGGUUACUUUAUGGCUGUAACUGCACAGUGCUUACGCCUCCUAAAUCGGAUCACACCACAAGCUUCAACAUCAAUGAAAAUGACAAUUAACAUACAAGACGAAGAUCUACUCGCUUAUAUUUCCAUAACCAGCGACAGAAGCAGCCGGACCAUUCAAGUCGUCAUGUUUUGCGUGCCCAAUACGGCCAUGUUAGAAUCCAAGUCCACCUGGCAAGCUUUUGACGUGGAAUUACCAAUCAACAGUUAACGAAGAUGAUUCCAGGAUCUGCUCGUGUAUUAACUGAGCUUUUUUAAACGAUAAAAAAUGGAUGUGGAUAACUUGCACAUUAUUAUCAUACAGCUCAGCCCUGCAAAAGGGUGUAUAUUUAUGCUAGGAAGGAUCCAGGACGCAUUUUCCGCGUUAUAUUUCGAAGGGUUGCACAAUCAAACGAUGACUGACAUGUUCCAAACUGACGUGUCACCUAAAAUUAUACAUCGUCAGCUCAUCUUCUCACAAAAGCGACCGGCUUAGAAGUAUUGUGUAGCGGAAACAGCAGUGUGGGCGCAUAUUAUGCAUUUAAAUUUCGUAUGUUGGCGUUGUUUCGUGUCUACGUAUGUUGGCGACCGUGACCUUUAAUGGGCUUGAAUUU